rnacentral:rRNA from 1 species
UAUGUGAUCGUCUCUCGCAUAUCAAUAAGCGGAGGAAAAGAAACUAACAAGGAUUCCCCUAGUAACGGCGAGUGAAGCGGGAAGAGCUCAAAUUUGAAAUCUUAAAGGGUUUCCCUUUACGAAUUGUAGUUUAAAGAAGUGUUUUCUGUUGAGGUUUUGGUAAAAGUUCUUUGGAAUAGGACAUCAUAGAGGGUGAGAAUCCCGUAUUUGACCUUUACAUUCAACUUUGUGAUACACUUUCAAAGAGUCGGAUUGUUUGGGAAUGCAGUCCAAAAUGGGUGGUAAAUUUCAUCUAAAGCUAAAUAUUGGCGAGAGACCGAUAGCGAACAAGUACCGUGAGGGAAAGAUGAAAAGAACUUUGAAAAGAGAGUUAAACAGUACGUGAAAUUGUCAAAAGGGAAGCGUUUGACACCAGUGUUGUUUUUCUGAAAAUCAAUUAAAGAACUGUUUAUGCUAAGCUUGUUUAGACUUUAUCAGCUAUCUGCUUAGUUUUGAGCUUUUCUUUAAUGCACUUUUCAGUUAACAAGUCAACAUCAAUUUCUUUUGCUGUAAAAAAGCUUGAGGAAGGUGGCUUGAGAUUCGUCUUAAGUGUUUAUAGCCUCUUGCCUAUGCAGUCGGAGAGAUUGAGGUCUGCAGCGUAGAUCCUUCGGGGCUAAAUGCAUUUGUGCUAAGUUAUAGCAUUUUAUAGACAACUUGUUGACUAUGAUUUGUCUUGUAGCUUACUCGCUUAUGUUAUUUUACCUACGCUUAGGAUGUUGACGAGACUGUCGAUCUC